rnacentral:rRNA from 1 species
UGAGGAAUAUUGGUCAAUGGGCGGGAGCCUGAACCAGCCAAGCCGCGUGAGGGAGGAAGGCCCUAUGGGUCGUAAACCUCUUUUGUCAGGGAACAAAAGCGAGUAUGUAUACUAGUCUGAGUGUACCUGAAGAAAAAGCAUCGGCUAACUCCGUGCCAGCAGCCGCGGUAAUACGGAGGAUGCGAGCGUUAUCCGGAUUUAUUGGGUUUAAAGGGUGCGUAGGCGGCGGUGCAAGUCAGCGGUAAAAGCCCGGGGCUCAACCCCGGCGAGCCGUUGAAACUGCAGUGCUAUAGAAGGCGAGAGGUACGCGGAAUGCGCAGUGUAGCGGUGAAAUGCUUAGAUAUUGCGCAGAACAUCCGAUUGCGAAGGCAGCGUACUGGCGCCUGACUGACGCUGAGGCACGAAAGCGUGGGGAUCGAACAGGAUUAGAUACC